UGUGUUUCAGUUGCUGAAGCGUAUUUAUGGAAAUGUCCUUGUGGCACCAGAAGACGGGUACAAUAUUUCACUGCUCUUUGACCUGGAGGCUCUUCCUCCCAACAAAGAGGAGAUGAUACACCAGGCAGGCAUCCUCAAGAGAAACUGCUUCGCUUCCGUCUUUGAGAAGUACUUUAAGUUCCAGGAGGAGGGUCGUGAGGGAGA